ACUGGGGCGGCGGGCGGGGCUCGGGACCGGCCGCCGCGGCGGCCUACACUCUCGGUAGCCGUGCUGCGAGGGAGGAGUGGUGCGAAAGGUGCCUGGCGAGGCCGGGGCCCGGCGCAGGCCCCGAAGGGAAGGGUGGUAUUCCCUUCGGGCCCCGCGCCAGGCCGUGGCCUUUCCCGCCCUUUUCCGUCCCCUUUCACACGCUGCGAGCCUGACAGGAGGGCCCUGAGAUCUGCCCGUCCCUCUCGCCACAAUCCGCUGUGCCCGGGGCCGUUUUGGUCUUAAGCCGCUGUGACCUGGGCCUGCCCCAUUGUCGGAAAAAAAGUCCCUGGCAAACAUCCAGCCACAAAAUGCAGCGCAUCCUCCUUCGGUCACGUGGAGUGGAAAUUUCCUGGCACCACAACACCUCUUGGCAGCAGAAGAGAGCAUGGAGGAGCCUUCACAGCCUUCUUUCAACCAAGAAGGUAUGUCUACUGUGACAGCUGGCAGCAAGUAAAGUGAACCUGAAUCUUCUCCUUGCUAUCAAUCCUUUUUUCAUCCCUGCAUCCAUCAUACCUCAGGGCAAAGCUGAAAAAGUACCACUUUUUAAAUCUUGAGUCAGCUCACUGAAUUAAGCAAGAUUACCUGUAUGUGCAAAAUUAAGCCUGGUUUCGGCAGGGGAACUAUUAUUGAUUUGAAGCAAAGUAAAUACGAAAAUUGAAAUAUCAGAACUGGUGAGUAGGACAAAGUCUUGGCAAGAAGUGAUACUACUGAGGCUAAUUUCCCUUUUACUAUAUUGUACUUUUGAGGCAAUUUUCAUUUAGCCUAUUGCGUGUGUAAAUGUAAACACCAUCCUCGCAACACAGUCCUUGGCAUGAGUUGGAAGAUAAGCAUUGCCAUGUUCAUUUUACAGAUGAGUAAAUCUCAUGUACAGAGCUUAGAAGAUGAGAGAAAAACAUCCAUGUUACAAGGAGGGUUAUUACACA